UGGGGGCUGAGCAGGGGCCUGCCCCGCUGGGUCCAGGCAGAAGUUUCUCCUGGUCACCUCCAGGCCUGUCUUUGUCGCUUGUUCCCAUUCAGGGCUUUAAGGUCCUGGAGACUGAGGAUCUGUUCCCUCCGGACCCACGGUCCGUGGGUGCCGAUGUGCUGGCUGGAGGCGGGGAGCCAGCGGGGCCUGGGGUUUCCAGCUCUGCCCGAGGAGCAGGACCUGAGGCCCGGCCAAAGAGGAAGUGCCAGAGUGAACAGCAUGUGUGAUGAGUUCUGUAACAUUCCAGAGAUGGGCAAGCUCCCCGUGGAAGGAGGAAUCAUGGAAAACUUCCUGGAGGAGGAGGACUCAAUGCAGACUUUCUGCCAAUAAAACUGAGAAUCGAAGAGGCUAAACAACUCGGUCAGGUGACACAGGCGGUCAAAGGUGAGACCCAGGUUUGAAUUCACGUCUGUCUGGCUUGAAGGUCAGGUUCUUGGAUCUGACAUUGUGCCUCCUCCUCCCUCGUGUGUUCAGUCUCUCCUUCAUCAAGCGUUGUUAGUUAAGUUCAAGCCAGCCGCGAACUGCUCUACCUGAGACACCUCCUGGAUGCCUGCGAAGACAUUCGAGCCAAAUCCCUCAGAAACCCAGAGAUGAAGGGCCUCCUCCCACUGGCUUGGUUCCUGGCUUAUAGUGUGCCUGCUGUGCCAGGAGGCUUGCUGCAACUGAAGUCAAUGAUUGAGAAGGUGACAGGAAAGAACGCCCUGGUAAACUAUGGCUUCUACGGCUGUUACUGCGGCUGGGGCGGCCGAGGGACCCCCAAGGAUGUCACCGA